rnacentral:rRNA from 1 species
AACGAACGCUGGCGGCAUGCCUAACACAUGCAAGUCGAACGAGAUCUUCGGGUCUAGUGGCGCACGGGUGCGUAACGCGUGGGAAUCUGCCCUUUGGUUCGGAAUAACAGUUGGAAACGACUGCUAAUACCGGAUGAUGACGAAAGUCCAAAGAUUUAUCGCCAGAGGAUGAGCCCGCGUAGGAUUAGCUAGUUGGUGUGGUAAAGGCGCACCAAGGCGACGAUCCUUAGCUGGUCUGAGAGGAUGAUCAGCCACACUGGGACUGAGACACGGCCCAGACUCCUACGGGAGGCAGCAGUGGGGAAUAUUGGACAAUGGGCGAAAGCCUGAUCCAGCAAUGCCGCGUGAGUGAUGAAGGCCUUAGGGUUGUAAGGCUCUUUUACCCGGGAUGAUAAUGACAGUACCGGGAGAAGAAGCUCCGGCUAACUCCGUGCCAGCCGCCGCAGUAA